rnacentral:rRNA from 1 species
UACGUAGGGGGCAAGCGUUGUCCGGAUUUAUUGGGCGUAAAGAGCGUGUAGGCGGUUCGGUAGGUCCGUUGUGAAAACUCGAGGCUCAACCUCGAGACGCCGAUGGAAACCAUCGAACUAGAGUCCGGAAGAGGAGAGUGGAAUUCCCGGUGUAGCGGUGAAAUGCGCAGAUAUCAGGAAGAACACCCGUGGCUAAGGCGGCUCUCUAGUACGGUACUGACGCUGAGACGCGAAAGCGUGGGGAGCGAACAGG